rnacentral:tRNA from 1 species
GCGGGUGUAGCUCAGGGGUAGAGAGCUUCCCAAGCUGAAUGUCGCGGGUUCAAAUCCCGUCGCCCGCUCCA